UUAUUGUAAUAGAGUGAUCUUUGGGUUAAUGAAUAAAUUUUGCUAUAGAUAUAUGCUUCAAUGUAUUUUACUUUAGAAAACCCUAGAUCCACUCCUUUAUUUCUCUAGCCCUUACAUGUACAUAUAUAGGUGAACACAUUUAAUAGUCAUUACCUUAAGGCAUAUGUCAAAGGUCUUGUAGUGUUCUUGAACUUCAUUGGUUGUGUUUUGUGAAGUUGCUUUUGGUUGGUUUUUAUUGUUUUGGUCAUUGGGUUUUACCGCCAAAAUUUUGUCUAGUUUUGAGAGAGGACAGACUUCAUAUCGACAACAUUGACUAAGACCUUCUAUAAAGACUUUUCCUUCUUUUCUGGUAAGUAAUUCAUUACUAAUUAUCCUUAUUGGUAAAUGUCAAUUAAUAUUUCCAGUCUAUAUAUUUUUGCAGAUUUAAUGAGAUUCCUUUUGCACUAAAUAUUAACUGAGAGAAAGGCUAGAUCUACAAAGAAUGAUAGUUUUGUUUAAAGCUCUUUGAUUUCAUGAAUCAAUUGCUUAUAUUUAGAGUAAAUUGGUGAAUCUAUCAAGUUACACUUUAUUUUAUAAUCAGAAUAUUUGAUUAACUUGUUCGGAGUGAGCAAUUGAGUCUAACUUUAAUAAAUAGUAUUUUUAGACUAUUGUAUGUAAAUUACAGAGUCCAUGUACAUAUCCACAUAGAUAUAUAUACCCUGUACUUGUAUGUGGAAGCCUCUUCCCAUAGAAUGGGCUGAAAAAAUAUGUGCAUGUGAGAUAUCCUUCACUGUGAUAUUAAAUUCCCUGAACCCAUACAGGAGUUGCUUAUUAUGAAACUACAAACCUGUUACAAUUUGGCGCCCACGUUGGGACAGUGACGGAUAGUCAGAGACUGGAGCAAACUGGUGAAAAACAGCUACCAAGGGGAUCUGUGAGACCAGCGACAACUGAAGGUGGAUUUACCUAUUGACUCAGUGAACUGAUAUAGUGAACAUGUGAACCACGUGUGAUGUGUCUGUGAUUCGUGAGUUUACAUAAAGCGUUGAUUCUGGAUCAGCUGGUUGACUGACACUUUGGUGAGUUAUAUGUUUAUGCGCAUAGCCUAGCUGGUGCCUCAACCAAAGACUUUUGAAAACAUUCAAAGACUUGGAUAUUGCCCUAAUUAUAUAUAUGUCAAUAAUUUUCUUAAUUUACUGCAUGCUAAUGUUCUUGUUUAGAACUGCUUGACUAUAUGAGUACUCAUUUAUAACUUUUCUGUAGUACAUAUCAAAUCACUUGUCCGUCUGUCUGUAGUAUCUGGUAUACCACAUUUAGAACUUAUUCUUUGUGGUUUAUGGUACCUAUGUUUCAUUUGAAGUGCACUUCGAUAUUCAUUAUUUUGAAUUAUAAGAGUGAGAGCGAUUAGAAGUGUGCCAGAAUGGGUAAGUGGUGUUACUAACUGUGCACUUUAUUUCUACUGUAGUGUAUAUAUCAGUAAAUCCUACCCAGGUUAUACUAAAUACUCUAUAAAUUACCUGCUUUGACAUUUGACAGUAUACAGACAAGACUAUUUGAUCAAGGUGGUUUAUUCAAGUGGUUUCAUCAAGUGUUAUUGAGGGAGCAUAGUUUGGUUUCUCAGUGAAUUUAACAGGUUUUUUUUACUAGUCAUUGCUGUGUAUAAUUGUCUUAAGUGGUGAUUACAUUGUUUGGUAUAGCACAUACAAUCUAUAUAUUAUACACA